UACGGGGGGGGCAAGCGUUGUUCGGAAUUACUGGGCGUAAAGGGCGCGUAGGCGGUCCGCUAAGUUGGAUGUGAAAACUCUGGGCUUAACCCAGAGCCUGCAUUCAAAACUGACGGGCUAGAGUUCUGGAGGGGGUAGCGGAAUUCCUGGUGUAGCGGUGAAAUGCUUAGAUAUGACAUAGAACACCAAUUGCGAAGGCAGCUCACUACACAAUUAUUGACUCUGAGGCACGAAAGCGUGGGGAUCAAACAGG
rnacentral:rRNA from 1 species